rnacentral:rRNA from 1 species
UGUAAGCGUAUACCAAAGUUGUUGCAGUUAAAACGCUCGUAGUCGGAAUUUGGCAGUUCCGGAUGUGUGCACGUCGUGUGCGCACUUCGCGGGGAUUGCUUUUGUGGUCUUGCGUAGGAUGAGGCACUUUUAUUAGUGAACGUCCUCACGCAACCACUUUUUACUGUGAGAAAAUCAGAGUGCUCAAAGCAGGCAUUUGCCGUGAAUGUAUAGCAUGGAAUAAUAGAAUAGGACUUGGUUCUAUUUUGUUGGUUUGUUGGGACUGAGUAAUGAUUAAGAGGGACAGUUGGGGGCAUUUGUAUUUCGGUGCUAGAGGUGAAAUUCUUAGAUUACCGAAAGACAAACUGCUGCGAAAGCGUCUGCCAAGGAUGUUUUCAUUGA